GCAGUCGCAGCAGUGGUUUUUUGUUGAGAAACAAGACCUGCAUACACUUGCACAAAAUAUCCGAUGCCAAAGUCAGAGUGCAAGAGGUGAGUAAUGAAAUUAAAUUGUAUACAUGUAGGCAUGGGAUGCCUUGUAUAGCGAUAGAUGAAGGAAAAGUUUAAGUAACUAUUGUGGGCCAUGGACCACAUGGAUUCACAACAGCUAUCUAACUAACUUUCCCUUCAUCCAUCACUAUAUAAGGCAUCUCAUGCCUACAGGUAUACAAUUUAACCUCGUUACUCACCUCCCAGUCUUUGAUUUUGGCAUCGUAGUGUUUGUGCAAGGUGUUUGCAAGUCUUGUUGCUCACAAAAAACCACCACUGCUGCCGCGAGAGCCACCUGCUUCGUCCACCUUGUUUGGAGCCUUCCGAACAUUUGGAGCUAGAAGUUGAAAAAAAUAGGCCUGUUUAUUUGGAGAUAUAUUUAUAUCUUGUUUUCAAUUUUAGUUACAAGAGAAAAUAGAUAAUGUAUUAAUUUUUUGUUAUUCAAUAAUGUAUGAUAGUUUGUUUAUUUUUACAAACAAUUUCUGAUUAGUUACCUAGUUAACCGUGUAUAACUUUUUAUACUG
rnacentral:lncRNA from 1 species